rnacentral:rRNA from 1 species
GACGAACGCUGGCGGCGUGCUUAACACAUGCAAGUCGAACGGAAACGCCCGGCCUUUGUGGGCAGCUCGACUGGCGAACGGGUGAGUAACCCGUGAGUAACCUGCCCCUGACUUUGGGAUAACUUCAGGAAACUUGGGCUAAUACCGGAUAGGAGCUCCCGCCGUAUGGUGGGGGCUGGAUAGUUUCGGCAGUUGGGGAUGGACUCGCGGCUUAUCAGCUUGUUGGUGGGGUAGUGGCUUACCAAGGAUUUCACGGCUAGCCAGCCGGAGAGGGUGAACGGCCACAUUGAGUGUGACAGACGGACGAGACUGAUACGGGAGGCAGCAGUGAGGAAUAAAGAACAAUGGACGGGAGCAAGAUGGAGCAAGCCAGCGUGCGGGAGGGCUGACUUCGGUAUGUAAACAACUUUCGCUUACGACGGAUCGUGAGUACAGGAAUGGGUAAAGAAGCACCGGCUAACUACGUG